UUAAUGAGGCGAACCGGGGGAACUGAAACAUCUAAGUACCCCGAGGAAAAGAAAUCAACCGAGAUUCCCCCAGUAGCGGCGAGCGAACGGGGAGGAGCCCAGAGCCUGAAUCAGCAUGUGUGUUAGUGGAAGCGUCUGGAAAGGCGCGCGAUACAGGGUGACAGCCCCGUACACAAAAGCGCAUGUGCUGUGAGCUCGAUGAGUAGGGCGGGACACGUGGUAUCCUGUCUGAAUAUGGGGGGACCAUCCUCCAAGGCUAAAUACUCCUGACUGACCGAUAGUGAACCAGUACCGUGAGGGAAAGGCGAAAAGAACCCCGGCGAGGGGAGUGAAAAAGAACCUGAAACCGU
rnacentral:rRNA from 2 species